rnacentral:rRNA from 1 species
GAUGAACGCUGGCGGCGUGCCUAAUACAUGCAAGUCGAGCGAACAGACGAGGAGCUUGCUCCUCUGACGUUAGCGGCGGACGGGUGAGUAACACGUGGAUAACCUACCUAUAAGACUGGGAUAACUUCGGGAAACCGGAGCUAAUACCGGAUAAUAUAUUGAACCGCAUGGUUCAAUAGCGAAAGACGGUUUUGCUGUCACUUAUAGAUGGAUCCGCGCCGCAUUAGCUAGUUGGUAAGGUAACGGCUUACCAAGGCAACGAUGCGUAGCCGACCUGAGAGGGUGAUCGGCCACACUGGAACUGAGAAAAGGUCCAGACUCCUAAGGGAGGCAGCAGUAGGGAAUCUUCCGCAAUGGGCGAAAGCCUGACGGAGCAACGCCGCGUGAGUGAUGAAGGUCUUCGGAUCGUAAAACUCUGUUAUUAGGGAAGAACAAAUGUGUAAGUAACUAUGCACGUCUUGACGGUACCUAAUCAGAAAGCCACGGCUAACUACGUG